rnacentral:rRNA from 1 species
AUUGACCGCUGGCGGCAGGCCUAACACAUGCAAGUCGAACGAGUGGCGGACGGGUGAGUAAUGUCUGGGAAACUGCCUGAAGGAGGGGGAUAACUACUGGAAACGGUAGCUAAUAACGCAUACCAUACGAUGUGCCCAGAUGGGAUUAGCUUGUUGGUGGGGUAACGGCUCACCAAGGCGACGAUCCAUAGCUGGUCUGAGAGGAUGACCGGCCACACUGGAACUGAGAAACGGUCCGAACUCUUACGUGAGGCAGCAGUGGGAAAUAUUGCACAAGGGGCGAAAGCCUGAUGCAGCCAUGCGGGGUGUAUGAAGAGGGCCUUCGGGUUUUAAAGUACUUUCAGCGGGGAGGCGUUACCCGAAGAGGAAGCACCGGCUAACUCCGUGCCAGCAGCCGCGGUAAUAC